rnacentral:rRNA from 1 species
AAACGACUCUCGGCAACGGAUAUCUCGGCUCACGCAUCGAUGAAGAACGUAGCAAAAUGCGAUACUUGGUGUGAAUUGCAGAAUCCCGUGAACCAUCGAGUUUUUGAACGCAAGUUGCGCCCGAAGCCUUUCGGCCGAGGGCACGUCUGCCUGGGCGUCACGCA